AGUUAACGUUAAAUUUUUGAAGUUAUUUUAGCUUUUUUGUUGGGUGAAAUCAGUAUAAAGAGUUUUUCUUUCUUUAAAAAUUAAUAGGAAUUAAAAAACUCUGAUUUAAAACCAGGAUUAGAUACCCUGUUAUUCUGAGUUAUAUUUAGACAGGGUAGUAAAAGUUGUUCUUCAAACCCAAAGAUUUUGGCGGCACUUUAUCCAAAUAGAGGAGCUUGCCCCUUAAUCGAUAGUCCCCGUUUUAUCUUUCCUCUGUUUGUAGAGCUUGUAUACCGCCGUUGUCAGAUUACUUCUAGAGAAUGUUUUCAAAUUAAAAGAUUUUUUUACUUCAGGUCAAGGUGCAGUUUAUAUAGAGGUGGAGGUGAGCUACAAUUUUCUUUACAAAUAUGGAUACUAAGCCUCGAAGCUGGUUGAAGGUGGAUUUAUUAGUAAAGUAAUUUAAGUAAA
rnacentral:rRNA from 1 species